rnacentral:tmRNA from 1 species
CAUGGUUUCGACGUAGGUUGCAAAACCUAAGGUGCAUGCCGAGAGUGAGAUUGCUCGUUAAACAAACUCAAAUUAAAUAUAAAUGCAAAUGAUGCAAUGUACGAGGAAGAAGCAAUCGCUGCAUAAGCUUUGCUAAACCUCAAUGUGUAUCGGCCAACAACCCGAUAUCCCAUUAAUUGAACUCGCUUAUUGGUAUCAAUUUAAUGGUCAUAGCAGAUAAGCUCGUGAUGUUUUAAAGUUUCGUUUAACAUCAUUAAAUUUAAGAGACUCGCGAUGAUUUAUCCUGUUUGUCGGAGAGAGCAUCGUUAAAUUAAAAGACAAUUCUAAGCAUGUAGAGCUAAAGGCAGAGUGCUUGCGGACGCGGGUUCAAUUCCCGCC